rnacentral:rRNA from 1 species
AGUAGGACGCACAGUUUAUACCGUAGCUUGCUACACCAUAGACUGUGAGUUGCGAACGGGUGAGUAACGCGUAGGUAACCUGCCUAUUAGAGGGGGAUAACUAUUGGAAACGAUAGCUAAUACCGCAUAACAGUAUGUAACACAUGUUAGAUGCUUGAAAGAUGCAAUUGCAUCGCUAGUAGAUGGACCUGCGUUGUAUUAGCUAGUAGGUAGGGUAAUGGCCUACCUAGGCGACGAUACAUAGCCGACCUGAGAGGGUGAUCGGCCACACUGGGACUGAGACACGGCCCAGACUCCUACGGGAGGCAGCAGUAGGGAAUCUUCGGCAAUGGGGGGAACCCUGACCGAGCAACGCCGCGUGAGUGAAGAAGGUUUUCGGAUCGUAAAGCUCUGUUGUUAAGGAAGAACGAGUGUGAGAAUGGAAAGUUCAUACUGUGACGGUACUUAACCAGAAAGGGACGGCUAACUACGUGCCAGCAGCCGCGGUAAUACGUAGGUCCCGAGCGUUGUCCGGAUUUAUUGGGCGUAAAGCGAGCGCAGGCGGUUAGAAAAGUCUGAAGUGAAAGGCAGUGGCUCAACCAUUGUAGGCUUUGGAAACUGUUUAACUUGAGUGCAGAAGGGGAGAGUGGAAUUCCAUGUGUAGCGGUGAAAUGCGUAGAUAUAUGGAGGAACACCGGUGGCGAAAAGCGCUCUCUGGUCUGUAACUGACGCUGAGGCUCGAAAGCG